GAUAAGUAUAAUAAUUAUUGUAUCUCUCAAAUAUGAACACUGACAAGUGUGAAAUGCAUGCACCAAGACAGAAGUUAAUUUGUGUGUCGACCCACAUUGUUAACUUAUCUUAUAAUGGCGCAGGGAGGAGUGAUGAAUAUGUGUGUGCGUUAAAGAACCAAAUGCUGCCCGCGGCCAGUGACGGACUUCUACAUCACAAUGAGUUAAUGAAACCCAAUGAGGGGAUUGCCCUCUGUCCUGGACUACAACAUUAGACUGAUAUAAGGACGUCCCUCAGCCCUGACAGGACAAUGUCAACCCUGGUUGUUCAUUGUGACUCCUGGAGGACGAACAUCAACCUAUCAGGAUUCUCCUCAAAUCCAUGCCUACUGAUUGGAUGAUGUCCCAGAUCCAUGCCUACUGAUUGGAUGAUGUCCCAGAUCCAUGCCUACUGAUUGGAUGAUGUCCCAGAUCCAUGCCUACUGAUUGGAUGAUGUCCCAGAU